GCCUCAGCCUGGAUGAGUGUGAGGAUAUCCAGCUGUUCCUUAGAGCUUGGAGCAGGGCAGGGUGCAGAGCUCACGGGCAACGCCUUAGCCCAGGUCUCGGGGGCUGUGUGCUGGAGCAGGGAAUCCCCGUGAGGACGAGCCAGAGAUUGGGACAUCGAACCAGCUGACUAAGAGACAACAACCCAGUGAUGGCAGGAGUUUCCCAGAUAGUGGAACAGCUCUUCUCACCUGACCUGGAUUCUAAUACCUUGAUCCCUGACAGAUAAGUGCAGGGGUUCAACCCACAGUGGGGAUGGGAAUGAGUCUCUGGGUCUGGAAUUGUCAGGGGGGAUUUUGGGAGUGCCGGGGAUUGGUCGGGAUCUCUGUGCGGUGAUUGCUGGGCAGGCGGGGUCUCUGUGAGGGCCCCUCUGAGACCCCUCCUCAAAUGCCCCCGUGUCUCUCCCCAGCAUCUGUGGGACGCUGCACUCGGUGGAUCAGUACCUGAACAUCAAAUUGAUGGACAUCAGCGUCAUGGACCCCAAGAAUAUCUGCACAUGGGGAGGG